GCCAACCUGAAAAGGUCAGUCAUAGUGUCAAAACGUAGUAUUAUUCCCGUCCACAGUAUGGUAAAUGAAAGAAAACAGUGUAGUACAUUACAGUGCAUAAUGCACACCUACCUGCAUAUCUGGAAACUGCCGUGGUAAUACACGGAGUGUACAAAACAUUGAGAACACCUGCUCUUCCAUGACAUAGACCAGUGAUUCUCAACUUCGGUCCUCGAGUAUCCCCAACAGUACACAUUUUUAUUGUAGCCCCGGACAAGCACACCUGAUUCAAUUUGACAACUAAUCAUCAGGCCCUAAAUGAGUUGAAUCAGGUCGUGCUUGUCCAGGGCUAUAACAAAAAUGUGUGCUUUUGGGGAUACUCGAGGACCGGAGUUGAGAAUCACUGACCUAGACUGACCAGGUGAAUGCUAUGAUCCCUUAUUGAUUUCAAUUGUUAGAUCCACUUCAAUCAGUGUAGAUGAAGAGGAGGAGACAGGUUAAAGAAGGAUAUUUAAGCUUUGAGACAAUUGAAACAUGGAUUGUCUAUGUGUGCCAUUCAAAGGGUGAAUGGGCAAGACAAAAAAAAUAUUGAAGUGGCUUUGAACAGGGUGUGGUAGUGGUGAAACUUAACAUUAGGAAGGUGCACUUAAUGCUUUGUAAACUCAGUGUAGGUCUUUGUCUGUUUUUUGACUACAGCAUUUACACCUGCAGGAGAACCACAUCUCAGUAGUACCGAAGGUGUUACCGAGGAACCUGCAACAGAAGGGAUAUUUGUAACACCAGCAGGUGUGUCUGGAACAAAAUUGUGAUGAACAGGACUUCGGGAAUCCUCCUGUCUCUGAGGGGUUGGAUACUGAAUACAUUAAUGGAUGAGUGUGGUCAAUCCAAAAACGAUUCCCCCACUCACAUUCCUUGAUGCUGGAGCUGAGGACAGAGGAAUUGUAUGGAGCGUACGGUUUGCUACUACCAGAGCUUUGUUUCCUCAAUGUGGCUGAUCAUAAGAUUGUUGAGGAAGAAGCACUGUCUGUAGCUGUGUUUUCCUAUGCUCAAUGAGCUUGUUAUUCACUCCAACCCACUGACCACACGGGGGAAGUGGUGACCCACGUACUGCUGACUGACUUCCUCCACGAAAGGCUGGGUAUUAGAAUUAGGUGCAAGAAGACAUCGGGGCUGGUUUCCAAGACCCAGAUUCAGCCUUGACUAAAAUACAUCCUCAAUAGACUCUCCAUUGAAAAUACUUUUUAGUCCAGGACUAGGCUUUCAGUGUCUAGGAAACUGGCACCAGACGUUGUGAAACCACCUUUUGAUAUUAUGUAUUGAUUCCAAACGACAGGUUCAAAUGCAAAAACAAUUGAAUCCACAUUUUGGCUUUGCAUUCACCUGGAAAGUUAAAUAUGACUGCAGUCUUCAUUUCAAUAUUUUGGUAAACGCUGCAUUUUGGUCUAAGUGACUCACUUUUGAUGUUGAAACUAAUUGUUGAACAUUCAUCUUUCUCUAGGUAUAAAUACAUUCCAAUGGUGCCUUUAUUGAUGCUCUCUGGAGAUGAAAGAUUGAUCACAAUGGUCAUCAGAUGACACCUUCCAAAAUGAGGUGCCAUUUUUUUUUUUGUGGUGGCUGCUGAGGGAAGGACUUUUCAUAACAGUGGCGUUCAGUGCCGUUUAUGAUGAGGGAGGAAGAUAAAAAAAAUUAAAAAAUCAUGAGCAUGUCUUCUAUUACAGCAUGUUGGAUGAUGUCAUUCAUAUUCUAUUCACCCAGUUCAAUGUAACAUCGAUGGGUUUAGGCUACUACAGUAUUCUCAAAUGUUCCCUAUACCCACCAUGACAUUGCUACAACUUAGUUUAUGUAAUUUGGUAUUGGUGACGCAUUCAAAACUGCCUUGCCUGCA